UACAGAGGUCUCAAGCGUUGUUCGGAAUCACUGGGCGUAAAGGGUGCGUAGGCCGCACGGUAAGUCAGAUGUGAAAGCCCGGAGCUCAACUCCGGAACUGCAUCCGAUACUGCCGUGCUUGAGGACUGGAGAGGAGUCUGGAAUUCACAGUGGAGCAGUGAAAUGCGUAGAUAUUGUGAGGAACACUAGUGGCGAAGGCGGUGGUCUGGGCCGGAACUGACGCUGAGGAGCGAAAGCGUGGGGAGCGAACAGG
rnacentral:rRNA from 1 species